AUGGUGCUGGUUUCCUCUGCCCCUUCCACAAAAGCAAAGUUAUGCACCAGUAUUGCAGCAUUAACACUCCAGUGUAUAGUGGCAACAUUAGCAGCUCCAAUAGCCUUGCCUGGUUGCCCGGAGGCAUGUGGCAGCAUAGCCGUCCCCUACCCUUUUGGCUUCCGGCAAGGGUGCUUCCGCACGGGCUUCAAUCUCACGUGCGACGAGACGCGCCAGCCACCGAAGCUGCUGGUGGGUGAUGGCGCGGAAGUGGUUGAUAUUUCUCUGACGGAUGGUACGUUGCGGAUCCACAGCAAGAUGGUGAGUAUCUGGCUGAACACAAGAUCUAAUCAAUCAGAUGGCUUGUGGUCCGCUGGCCUGACGGAUGAGGGCCCCCUGAUAGUGUCCAUCGAUCACAACCGGUUCGUUGCUAUGGGCUGCAAUGUCUUAGCCAGCCUCAUUGCCUCUUCUGGCGACUAUGUUAGUGUCUGUUCCGUGUAUUGUCCUGACAGACCGUGGGUGAGCGACACCUCAUGUUCUGGUGUCGGCUGCUGCCAGAUGCCCAUCGCACGGCUAGGUCUCCCGUCCUAUGACCUCCAGCUUGGUGCUUUGAACUGGAGAACCGGUGAUUCAUUGAGAUAUGGAGCGGUGUUCAUAGCUGACCAAGAGUGGUUGGCCCGAAAGGCACCCAUGCUGCAGUUGAAUUACUUUGACAACCCAUAUAAGAUUGUUGAUUCCACGUUGAUCCCAACGUUGGUAGAAUGGUCACUUCAUGUGGGAGAUGACGGGAAAUUGUACUGGGGACGGGAUGGCUUUGAUUUAUAUGAACACAGGGGAUCCGUAAGUGUAAACUGCUUCAUAGUCGCAGAUGGUCUUUAUAUCCAAAAGGCACGGUGCAACUGCUCCAAAGGAUACGAGGGCAACCCUUACAUCGCAAAUGGAUGCCAAGAUAUUGAUGAGUGCCAACGGCCAGACAUUUAUCCAUGCCAUGGAACCUGCAUCAAUGUGCCGGGGACAUACCGAUGCCUUGCAAAGAAAGGUAUCACGAGCCUCCCAGGUCUGAUUACUGUAAUUGCAAUUAGUGCUGGUUCUGGCAUACUGUUUGCACUUCUGGGUAUUGCCAAAAUCACCAAUAAACUCAAGCAACGAAGAGCCAAGAAGUUGAGACAAAAGUUCUUCAAGAAAAAUCAUGGAUUGCUUCUGCAACAGCUAAUCUCUUCAAACAAAGAGAUAGCAGAAAGAACAAGGAUUUUCAGCUUGGAAGAGCUGGAGCAAGCAACCAACAAAUUUGACCAGAAUCGCAUCCUUGGUGGCGGUGCCAUGGCACUGUCUACAAAGGCAUCUUAUCUGAUCAACAUGUGGUAGCCAUCAAGAAGGCUAAAAUUGUAGUUCAAAGGGAAAUCGACCAGUUCAUAAAUGAGGUUGUCAUACUUUCACAGACAAACCAUAGGAAUGUGGUGAAGCUCUUUGGCUGCUGCCUCGAGACAGAAGUUCCUCUGCUAGUUUAUGAGUUCAUAUCGAAUGGAACUCUAUCGUAUCAUCUCCAUGGCCAAAGUGAGAACCCUUUGUCAUGGAAAGAUAGAUUAAAAAUUGCAUUGGAAACUGCAAGGGCUUUUGCAUAUCUGCACUCUGCUGCUUCCAUAUCAGUAUACCACAGAGAUAUCAAAUGCGCAAAUAUAUUACUUACUGAUACUUUAACAGCAAAAGUAUCAGAUUUUGGAGCUUCAAGGUCAAUUGCAAUAAAUGAGACAGGAAUACUUACAGCCGUCCAAGGAACGUAUGGUUACCUUGAUCCUGAAUACUACUAUACCAGUCGACUCACGGAGAAGAGUGAUGUUUACAGCUUUGGUGUUAUCCUAGCAGAGCUACUGACGAGGAUGGCACCAGUUUUUUCUUCUCAUUCGUCAGAAAGCACAAGUCUUGCAUCACAUUUUUUGUCACUUAUAAGAGACAAUCGAUUCUCAGAUAUUCUGGAUACACAAAUUGUUGAGGAGGGAGGGGCCGAAGAUGCUGAGGUGGUUGCAAGACUCGCAGAAGCAUGCUUAAGUUUAAAAGGUGAAGAAAGGCCUACAAUGAGACAAGUGGAGACAACACUUGAAGAUGUGCUGAACUUAAAGGUCAAUCUCAGUUCUCAGAUCACAAGACUGAACCAGAAUUGUAUAAAUGAUCAGUCAUACAAGGGAAGCAAAGGUAGCGAAGGAACUAGGCUGUACAGCUUGGAAAAAGAGUUCAUGCAUUCAUUUGAAAUUCCAAGAUGA
rnacentral:rRNA from 1 species